GACGAACGCUGGCGGCGUGCUUAACACAUGCAAGCCGAACGGAAAGGCCCUGCUUUUGUGGGGUGCUCGAGUGGCGAAAGGGUGAGUAACACGUGAGUAACCUGCCCUUGACUUUGGGAUAACUUCAGGAAACUGGGGCUAAUGCCGGAUAGGAGCUCCUGCUGCAUGGUGGGGGUUGGAAAGUUUCGGCGGUUGGGGAUGGACUCGCGGCUUAUCAGCUUGUUGGUGGGGUAGUGGCUUACCAAGGCUUUGACGGGUAGCCGGCCUGAGAGGGUGACCGGCCACAUUGGGCCUGAGAUGCGGCCCAGACUCCUACGGGAGGCAGCAGUGGAGAAUAUUGCGCAAUGGGCGGAAGCCUGGUGGAGGAACGCCGCGUGCGGGAUGACGGCCUUCGGGUUGUAAACAGCUUUCGACUGUGACGAAGCGUGAGUGACGGUAAUGGGUAAAGAAGCACCGGCAAACUACGU
rnacentral:rRNA from 1 species